UUCCGUUUAGCUCAGUUGGUAGAGCGCGUGUUUUUUAAUCCUGUGGUUGCGGGUUCGAGCCCCGCAGUGGGAG
rnacentral:tRNA from 1 species